UACGUAGGGUGCGAGCGUUAAUCGGGAUUACUGGGCGUAAAGCGUGCGCAGGCGGUUCGUUGUGUCGGCGGUGAAAGCCCCGGGCUUAACCUGGGAAUGGCCGUCGAAACUGGCGAACUGGAGUGUGGCAGAGGGGGGUGGAAUUCCGCGUGUAGCAGUGAAAUGCGUAGAGAUGCGGAGGAACACCGAUGGCGAAGGCAGCCCCCUGGGCCGACACUGACGCUCAGGCACGAAAGCGUGGGGAGCAAACAGG
rnacentral:rRNA from 1 species